AUGCAAUGCACGUUUUUAGAAAAAUAGAAAAUAAUCUAUUUACGUGAAAAUCUCUUGUAAGAAUUUCCAAUAUUUCCUUUUUACCUGUUUUAUUUUUAACCAAUUAUUUAACAUCACUCUCAACAUACGAAAUUUGUAUUCAAUUGUAUCGUAUCUAAUCCCAUUAUUAGUUAUUUUUUAAAUUUAACGCUGAAUAUGCGAAUAGGCGCUUAUUUGCAAGAAAAAUUUACUUUUUAUUCAUAUAUUACCUGCGGUUCGAACUGUGUUCUAAAAACCUACAAUUUUGUGAUGAAUAUGAUCUGAAUCACCAAAAUAUCAUUCUAAUCUAGUCCUCGAGGUAAAACCGUAAAGAUAUACAUCUGAGAAGCAGAUGGUUUGUUUAAUAAAAAUAUGGUUCCAAAUGGUGUAUUUUUUUACUUGUGAUUAAAAUAACUAUUAAUAAUAUCUACAUACAGGAUGUUAUUUAAAUACGCAACCAAACUAUUGAAGCGAUUUUAAAAAGAAACAAAGGAGGAAAGAAUGUGCAAGUCCUGAAAUGCUACUUUUUCAAUAUACAGAGGGCUGAAUUAAAAAUGUAUUACGGAACUAUGCGGGUGAUUGGUUUAGGCCCAUGGUGUGUCGGAUGUCCAGCGCAUUAUUGUGAUGACGAUAUAAACAUUAUACAAGGAUAUUGCUGUGGAUGUGCAAGUUUUAUCGAUAAAUUACCAGUCAAAUGCCAUUCUUCUGUAAAAUGUUCUAUGAAUAUUUACGAGCUGUGCCUGAAAUAUGAAUAUAUGAUGCAUUGUUGCUGCUAGGAGACUAUGAGGCUCGAAAAAUAUGCACAAUUCUACGAAAAUACUAAAGCUACUUUCGGUUGUCGAUAUUAAAUAAUGAUUAAAACUGUAAUGCUCUGAUUGAUUUUAUUUCAUUGGAAAAUAAUGGCCAAUAUCUUUUUUUUAAAUCUUCAAGAAAACAAAAAUUGAGAAUCUUAAUCCAAGUAGUUUCUAUUCGAUUUCUUCGUCAACUCGAUGGUAAAAUUUGUAAACGGGUAUUUUGUCUUUUUUGCUUUUAAGCUCAGAAAUGUGAAUACAGAAAUCACACGUCUAUGAGCGAAAAAAUGUUGACGAAAAGGUUGAAUCCAAAUAUAUCACGACAAAAAGGAAUACAAAUCGACAAAUGAAAAAAAGUAAAAAAUUCUUAUAAAGGGCCCGUUCUUUAUCGAGUUUAAAAAAUAUUGAUUUUGCAUCUAAACAGAGUUAUCGAGUAAAAAGUCUAAUUUGUUACAAAGGGUUGUCCAAAGUUCCUUGUACAACUAAGAAGAAAAACACCAAGAAUAAACUUAACUGACUACACAGUCACUAAAAUGUUUUAAAACUUCACCUCUUUGUAAUGAACUAACGCUUUAAUUAAAUGUUAUUAAUAUAUAA